rnacentral:tRNA from 1 species
GGCGGGAUUACCGAGUCUGGUCAAAGGUCUUUUGGUUUAGAAUCCAGUGGCAAAGGCCUUCGGGAGUUCGAAUCUCCCUCCCGCCA